GAUGAACGCUGACAGAAUGCUUAACACAUGCAAGUCGACUCGAGUCUUCGGACUUGGGUGGCGCACGGGUGAGUAACGCGUAAAGAACUUGCCUCUUGGACCGGGACAACAUCUGGAAACGGGUGCUAAUACCGCAUAGUUUCUUUUUCCGCCUGGAAGAAGAAGGAAAGAUGGCCUUUGCGCUAUCACUGAGGGAUGGACCCGCGGCGUAUUAGUUAGUUGGUGGGGUAAUGGCCUACCAAGACGAUGAUACGUAGCCGACCUGAGAGGGUGAUCGGCCACAUUGGGACUGAGACACGGCCCAA
rnacentral:rRNA from 1 species